GAUGAACGCUGGCGGCGUGCCUAAUACAUGCAAGUCGAGCGAACGGGCGAGAAGCUUGCUUUUCUGAUGUUAGCGGCGGACGGGUGAGUAACACGUGGAUAACCUACCUAUAAGACUGGGAUAACUUCGGGAAACCGGAGCUAAUACCGGAUAAUAUUUUGAACCGCAUGGUUCAAAAGUGAAAGACGGUCUUGCUGUCACUUAUAGAUGGAUCCGCGCUGCAUUAGCUAGUUGGUAAGGUAACGGCUUACCAAGGCAACGAUGCAUAGCCGACCUGAGAGGGUGAUCGGCCACACUGGAACUGAGACACGGUCCGGACUCCUACGGGAGGCAGCAGUAGGGAAUCUUCCGCAAUGGGCGAAAGCCUGACGGAGCAACGCCGCGUGAGUGAUGAAGGUCUUCGGAUCGUAAAACUCUGUUAUUAGGGAAGAACAUAUGUGUAAGUAACUGUGCACAUCUUGACGGUACCUAAUCAGAAAGCCACGGCUAACUACGUG
rnacentral:rRNA from 1 species